rnacentral:sRNA from 1 species
UGUAGUCGCCACAUGGACGCCAGCCGUCGU